UAGGGAAUCUUCGGCAAUGGACGCAAGCCUGAUGGAGCAACACCGCGUGAGUGAAGAAGGGUUUCGGCUCGUAAAGCUCUGUUGUUAAAGAAGAACACGUAUGAGAGUAACUGUUCAUACGUUGACGGUAUUUAACCAGAAAGUCACGGCUAACUACGUGCCAG
rnacentral:rRNA from 1 species